rnacentral:rRNA from 1 species
AUUGAACGCUGGCGACAGGCCUAACACAUGCAAGUCGAACGGUAACAGGAAGCAGCUUGCUGCUUCGCUGACGAGUGGCGGACGGGCGAGUAAUGUCUGGGAAACUGCCUGAUGGAGGGGGAUAACUACUGGAAACGGUAGCUAAUACCGCAUAACGUCGCAAGACCAAAGAGGGGGACCUUAGGGCCUCUUGCCAUCGGAUGUGCCCAGAUGGGAUUAGCUAGUAGGUGGGGUAACGGCUCACCUAGGCGACGAUCCCUAGCUGGUCUGAGAGGAUGACCAGCCACACUGGAACUGAGACACGGUCCAGACUCCUACGGGAGGCAGCAGUGGGGAAUAUUGCACAAUGGGCGCAAGCCUGAUGCAGCCAUGCCGCGUGUAUGAAGAAGGCCUUCGGGUUGUAAAGUACUUUCAGCGGGGAGGAAGGGAGUAAAGUUAAUACCUUUGCUCAUUGACGUUACCCGCAGAAGAAGCACCGGCUAACUCCGUG